GUAGUUAGCCGGGGCUUCCUCCUUGGGUACCGUCACUUUCUUCGUCCCCAAGGACAGAGGUUUACAAUCCGAAAACCUUCUUCCCUCACGCGGCGUUGCUGGGUCAGAGUUGCCUCCAUUGCCCAAUAUUCCCCACUGCUGCCUCCCGUAGGAGUCUGGACCGUAUCUCAGUUCCAGUGUGGCCGAUCACCCUCUCAGGUCGGCUACCCAUCGCGGGCUUGGUGGGCCGUUACCUCACCAACUACCUAAUGGGACGCGAGCCCCUCUACAAGCGAUAAAUCUUUUACCCCUGUGCCAUGCAGCACUGUGGUCUCAUGCGGUAUUAGCAGUCGUUUCCAACUGUUGUCCCCAUGAAAAGGGUAGGUUACCCACGCGUUACUCACCCGUCCGCCACUAACUCGCUCUGAAUCUGUCCGAAAACUUCAUCAAAGUCCGUCCGUUCGACUUGCAUGUGUUAAGCACGCCGCCACGCGUCGUCCUGAGCGACGAUACAACUACUGA
rnacentral:rRNA from 1 species